UCUAAUCGUUCAUUACUUUUUAA
rnacentral:snRNA from 1 species